UACAGAGGUGGCAAGCGUUGUUCGGAAUUACUGGGCGUAAAGGGCGCGUAGGCGGCCUUCUUAGUCGGACGUGAAAUCCCCAGGCUCAACUUGGGAACUGCGUCCGAUACUGGAUGGCUUGAGUGCGGGAGAGGGAUGUGGAAUUCCAGGUGUAGCGGUGAAAUGCGUAGAUAUCUGGAGGAAUACCGGUGGCGAAGGCGGCAUCCUGGACCGGCAUUGACGCUGAGGAGCGAAAGCCAGGGGAGCAAACGGG
rnacentral:rRNA from 1 species